rnacentral:rRNA from 1 species
CUAAUACAUGCAAGUCGAGCGCGACUGAUUACACCGUCCUUUUGGACACCGUAAUCAUCGAGCGGCGGACGGGUGAGUAACACGUGGGCAACCUACCCUUAAGACUGGGAUAACCGCGGGAAACCGUGGCUAAUACCGGAUAAUACUUUUAUACAUCAGUAUAGGAGUUGAAAGGUGGAUUUCUAUCACUUAAGGAUGGGCCUGCGGCGCAUUAGCUCGUUGGUAAGGUAAUGGCUUACCAAGGCGACGAUGCGUAGCCGACCUGAGAGGGUGAUCGGCCACACUGGAACUGAGACACGGUCCAGACUCCUACGGGAGGCAGCAGUAGGGAAUCUUCCGCAAUGGGCGAAAGCCUGACGGAGCAACGCCGCGUGUGCGAAGAAGGUCUUCGGAUCGUAAAGCACUGUUGUUAAGGAAGAACGACAGUAAGAGUAACUGCUUACUGUGUGACGGUACCUGACCAGAAAGCCACGGCUAACUACGUGCCAGCAGCCGCGGUAAUACGUAGGUGGCAAGCGUUGUCCGGAAUUAUUGGGCGUAAAGCGCUCGCAGGCGGUCUUUUAAGUCUGAUGUGAAAUCUUGCGGCUUAACCGUAAGCGGUCAUUGGAAACUGGAGGACUUGAGUACAGAAGAGGAGAGUGGAAUUCCACGUGUAGCGGUGAAAUGCGUAGAGAUGUGGAGGAACACCAGUGGCGAAGGCGAC